rfam:Paenibacillus sp. Leaf72 contig_23, whole genome shotgun sequence.
UAAAUGGAGAGUUUGAUCCUGGCUCAGGACGAACGCUGGCGGCGUGCCUAAUACAUGCAAGUCGAGCG